GUUGAGUUGAGUUUUCCCUUGAAUUGGAACCGUGGGGAACUGCCAACCUAGGGGUCCUGUUCAGGUUCACCUAGCCAUGAACCAAAAGCACUGGCUGCGACCCAGUUCCCUAAGCUUGUGACUAGAAUGCACAAAAAACUGGAGCAAUCCACUCUUCAAAGUCAUGUCAGAAUAAUAACCAUUGUAGCAAAGAGCACUUUUUUUUUUUUUUUUG
rnacentral:misc_RNA from 1 species